GCUUAUUCGUGCCACGUGGGAAACCAUUGGCCGGCAUAGGUCACGUUUUUCUUCUUCUUCUUCUUCCACCUACUCUUUCUUCUUCCGUUGUCUCCUCCCCCAUAUCCUCUUUCCUCUUCUUCCACCACCUCAUCUGCCUCCUGCUUUGUCUUCCUCCACCUCGUUUCUCUUCUUCACUCUUCCACGUUUUACUAUUUUUUUUUUCAUUUCCAUAGGUGCAAAUACAUCUAUUGACGGUUGGCGGCAUCACAAUAGCAAUCAAUUCCAAGUCUGUGCUUGGAGCCACAUGAAUACAAUUUCAUAUGGGCAGAUAAUUAUACCCCGGAGAACCUGAAGUAUGCAUCAUUGAACAACAUAAUAUUGCUCAUGACAAUGUGGAUUAUAAGAGAGAGCAUCCUGCUGCACUUGCAGCCUGUGCAUGUUGUUAUGGCAUUAUGUAUUUCAUCAUUUUAAUGAUGGUUCUAAUUAUUUUCUUAGCUUGGAAAUGAUUUGUAGGGACACUCGCUUUAACUUGCUUAUUGUGGACAUGUUUUUGUAGUUACAUCUAGGUAUACAAUGUUAUAUUGGGGUUAUUAUACAAUUAAAGUGUGUA